rnacentral:rRNA from 1 species
UACGUAGGGUCCAAGCGUUAUCCGGAAUCACUGGGCGUAAAGCGUGCGUAGGUGGUAAUUUGCGUGCAACGCGAAAUUGUGUGGCUCAACCAUACAACGUUUGUUGCAUACGGGAUUACUAGAGGACAUGAGAGGCAAGUGGAAUUACUGGUGUAGCAGUGAAAUGCGUAGAUAUCAGUAGGAACACCAAUGGCGAAGGCAGCUUGCUGGCAUGUAUCUGACGCUAAGGCACGAAAGCGUGGGGAGCGAACAGG